GAUGAAGAACGUAGCGAAAUGCGAUAAGUAAUAUGAAUUGCAGAAUUCAGUGAAUCAUCGAAUCUUUGAACGCACAUUGCGCCCGCCAGUAUUCUGGCGGGCAUGCCUGUUCGAGCGUCAUUUCAACCCUCAGGCCCCCAGUGCCUGGUGUUGGGGAUCGGCCCAGCCUUCCUGUAAGGCCGCCGGCCCCGAAAUCUAGUGGCGGUCUCGCUGUAGUCCUCCUCUGCGUAGUAGCACAACCUCGCAGUUGGAACGCGGCGGUGGCCAUGCCGUUAAACACCCCACUUCUGAAAGUUGACCUCGGAUCAGGUAGGAAUACCCGCUGAACUUAAGCAUAUCAAUAAGCGGAGGA
rnacentral:misc_RNA from 1 species